AUGGAACUGCAGAAUGAAAGAAGUCUGCAAACCGGAGUCACCAAAGAAAGCUGCACUAUAGAGUUGCUUGACCAGCAGCAGACUUGUGUGAAUAAGAAUCAAAUGUUUUUGGGGAGUGGGGAGCUGCACCAUGGGGCCCUGGGAGAGCCCGAACUCCUGGUGUGGCGCCCAGAGGCAGUAGCUUCAGAGUCUCCAGUGCCUGUGAGGCUGGAGGUGAAGUUGGGGGCCCUGGUGCUGCUGCUGGUUCUCACCUUUCUCUGCAGCCUGGUGCCCAUCUGUGCUAUGCCGGCCAAGAGCUAACCACAAAGCCUCAGCUUCCCGCCAGAAAGCCCCGAGCCUAGUAAGCUGUUUUGCCGGGGGCGUCUUUUUGGCCACCUAUCUCCUGGACCUGCUGCCUGACUACCUGGCUGCUAUAGGUGAGGCCCUGGCAGCCUUGCACGUGACGCUCCAGUUCUCGCUGCAAGAGUUCAUCCUGGCCAUGGGCUUCUCCCUCGUCCUGGUGAUGGAGUAGAUCACAUUGGCUUAUAAGCAGCAGUCAGGGCCACCACCUCUGGAGGAAACAAGGGCUCUGCUGGGAACAGUGAAUGGUGGGCUGCAGCAUUGGCAUGAUGGACCAGGGGUUCCACAGGCGAGUGGAGCCCCAGCAACCCUCUCAGCCUUGCGAGCCUGUGUCCUGGCCUUCUCCCUGCCCCUCCACUCUGUAUUCGAGGGGCCGGCAGUAGGGCUGCAGCGAGGUCGGGCUUGGGCCACGGAGCUGUGCCUGGCUUUGCUGCUCCACAAGGGGAUCCUGGCUGUCAGUCUGUCCCUCCGGCUGCUGCAAAGCCACCUGGGGGCACAGGUGGUGGCUGGCUGUGGGAUCCUCUUCUCAUGCAUGACACCUCUAGGCAUCCGGCUGGGUGCAGCUCUGGCAGAGUGGGCAGGACCUCCGCACCAGCUGGCCCAGUCUGUGCUAGAGGGCAUGGCGGCUGGCACCUUUCUCUAUAUUACCUUCCUGGAAAUCCUGCCCCAGGAGCUGGCCCGUUCUGAGCAAAGGAUCCUCAAGGUCAUUCUGCUCCUAGCAGGCUUUGCCCUGCUCGCUGGCCUGCUCUUCAUCCUAAUCUAGGGGGCUUCAAGAGAGGGGCAGGGGAGAUUGAUGAUCAUGUAACCCUGUUCUCCCUUCCCUCCCCCAGUGUGUGGGGAAUAGGAAGGAAUGGGGAAGGGAAGUACUGAGGACCAAAAAGUUCUCUGGGAGCUAAAGAUAGAGCCUUUGGGGCUAUCUGACUAAUGAGUGGGAAGUGGGCAGACAAGAGGCUGGCCCCAGUCCCAAGGAACAAGAGAUGGUCAAGUAGGUGGAGACUGGAUCAGGGGACAUAGGAUUGGGGAAGACACUUGAUUGCUAGAAU